rnacentral:rRNA from 1 species
GGCGAAGGAUGCAAGCGUUAUCCGGAUUCAUUGGGUUUAAAGGGAGCGUAGGUGGCCUUAUAAGUCAGUGGUGAAAUCUCUGGGCUUAACCCAGAAAUUGCCAUUGAUACUGUAGGGCUUGAGUAUAGAUGCCGUUGGCGGAAUAUGACAUGUAGUGGUGAAAUACAUAGAGAUGUCAUAGAACACCGAUUGCGAAGGCAGCUAACGAAACUAUAACUGACACUGAGGCUCGAAAGUGUGGGGAUCAAACAGG